UGGGGUAAUGGCCUACCAAGGCUAUGACGCAUACCUGGUCUGAGAGGAUGAUCAGGCACACUGGAACUGAGACACGGUCCAGACUCCUACGGGAGGCAGCAGUGGGGAAUAUUGCACAAUGGAGGAAACUCUGAUGCAGCAACGCCGCGUGGAGGAUGACGCAUUUCGGUGUGUAAACUCCUUUUAUAGGGGAAGAUAAUGACGGUACCCUAUGAAUAAGCACCGGCUAACUCCGUGCCAGCAGCCGCGGUAAUACGGAGGGUGCAAGCGUUACUCGGAAUCACUGGGCGUAAAGGAUGCGUAGGCUGGAAAUCAAGUCGAGAGUGAAAUCCAACGGCUCAACCGUUGAACUGCUCUCGAAACUGGUUACCUAGAAUAUGGGAGAGGUAGAUGGAAUUAGUGGUGUAGGGGUAAAAUCCGUAGAUAUCACUAGGAAUACCGAUUGCGAAGGCGAUCUACUGGAACA
rnacentral:rRNA from 1 species